CCUCUUCAUUUUGUCUUUCACUCUGGUUUAUACAAAAGUGUUGGCGGAAAACAAAUUCCACCCUUCCCUUCCAAUUUUUAAAAUAAAUAAAUAUAUAUAUAUAUAUAUAUACAUACAUACAUACAUACAUACAUACAACAGAGGCAAAAAAUUAUAUAAAAUAUAAGAUUGGUUUUAGUGGAGAAUCGCACGAAAAUAGGAAAUCAAUUUUUAGAAAACAAGUUUAAAAGAAAAAAAUGUAAGAAAGACAAAAAAAAAAAUCUAACCCUGUAGCCUUAUUCGGUCGUGGUCUACAACACAGCUGCGACAACUGUAUAUUUUUUUCAGCGUGCGACUGCUCUUUUAUUUAGGGAUUUUUAAAUUAAAAAAAUAAAUUUCGUCUUCGUUUUCAUGGCUGGGGUGUUGAAGGGAAGAGAGUUUUAAUUACCUAAGGGGCCGUACACCUACACUAUUAUGAUGAUUUCCAAAACAUUCAAAUUUCCAUAUGGGGUCGGUCAAUCCUCCCUGUGAUUUGGACUGCAAUCUCCAUUAUCCUCAAAGCACAGUUUAGUUUAAACAUCAAAGUCCCUAGGAUGUCAAAUAACUCAUUGCUGAGGAAUAAGCCAUGAUCUAGAUCAUUACAUAGUGCAACUGCAUCUUAGGAGAGCAUGACCCAUUGUUACAUUUUUUUCCAGUAAUUGGUUUGGUGUGAGAUACACCUUCACGGUCACAAUCAUACAUUUUUCACAUUUGGAUACUUAUUUUUCUUAAUGCUUCUCAACUCUGUCGUCAAGGACCACCAGCAAUUCAAAUUUUGUUGGGUACUCCUUAAUUCUUGAAUCAUUGCUUUUUCUAUGAGCAGGUUUGAGAAAUAAUGCUAUAGAGUUUAACACAUAUAUAUUCCUUAUUGCUGUUCUGUCAAUGGUUAGUUUAUCAUUCUCCCAUACCGAUAAGAAGCACUUAUUUUCCACCAAUAAAGCAGAGUAUUUACAUAGGGGGGUGAAUACAUGUAUAUAAAUAUUAACCUCCUUUUAAUGUUUCUGUUUUAUGCAGUUGAGAAAAAAAAAAAAGUAAACUGCAUACCAGGCAGCUGCACCAGUAAGUUGUGAUGUGUAUAUUUAAAUGCACAUACAUAAAACUUUAGGGCACUCUCACUGAAUUGAGAUUUUACCUUUUGAGUGCGUGGAUGAGUUGGCUAUAAGUUAUAGCUUAUGCUUUUGCCUGGCACAAACGAUUUAUAAUGUUCUCAAUGUUUAAAGCUCACAUCAAAGCCCAAACCUACACCCACCAUGUUGUAUAAACUGUAUAUUCUUCCGAAAUGGUUUCUUUCAUGUUUUGUAUAUUUGUACACUUUGGAUGACAGGCAUCGAUUUUAAUAUCUCGUAUUCUUGUACAUAUGUUUUGUUCUUGAUGUUGGUGUUUCCCCUCCCCUCUUAUAUUUUGUUUCUGGCAUACAUUGUGGUUCAAUCAUUUUUGCAUAUAUAUAUAUACACACAAGGUAAGGCAUUGUCAAGGCAUGUAUUUUACGGUUUUAAUUUGUGUCAGAGCAUUAUGGUUGUCAUCUGAAGUGAUUUUGCAGCUGGUCGUCAGCGGGUCUACAUGCUUAUUGUUACCAAAAUUAUACACAACCAACACAGCACUCAGCAGAUUUGGUUUUACACACUGUCUGGAACAUCUACUCAUUGUAAAUUUUGAAUGGGACAAACACAACUUUCACUGCUGUAUAUGAAGAUACAUCCUUAUCUUUUCUCCAGUAUUCAAAAAUAUGGUAGACACAUCAGGGCAAAGCCAUCUUGUUAGUGGGAGAAGAGAGGUUGGUUCGGUAAAUGAAGAAAUGUGCCUAUACAUAAAGAUAUGUAAAAAUGCGUGUCCACCUUUUGUGUUUUAUAUAUGCAUAAAUAUAUUUUUGUGUAAAAAACAGUAUCAGUCCAGGAAAAAUAGAAAUUGGAUACUCCAACUUUGUAACUUAAAAUAUUAAUAAUUCUUGCCACUUAUGUCCAACAAUUGUGUUUGUUUAUUAUACUAGAGUAAAAAUGAUACAAACAGCCCUAGGAGUGCUUAUAAAAGUGUGGCUAACUGAAAAUUGGUGCAGAGUUCUAAAGGUGUGGCAACCAUGGAAGGCAAUGGAAUCAACAGGGGCAUUAAAGUGGUUAUCACGGUGAUUUCCGCAAUAUCCAAACAUUGUGACACUUUUAUGAAUGACUCAGCAAUUUUCAAUAAAUCUCACUCAGUUUAUAUAAUGUAUACACAGCUGACCAAUACAGCCACAUUAGGUAAAGUGUGCUUGUUUACAUGUGCAAUAACAGUACAAAAUUAUGUGUAUACGUGCAAUGUAAAAGGCAUGAAAGGUAUUGUGUUGGGAUAUGUCUAAUAUGGGCACUCGGUUAUGUUACUAUUUACUCCUAUACAACAGACAGUAACACCCCCCCCCCACACACACACACACACACAAUCUUCCUGGUGCAGCUGUCUAAGGGGGGAGAUGAAACAAAUAUUCAUGAAAUACUUGUCUUUUAUAAGGAAUACGUUGGUUAUGAUAUAGUCCGACAUUGUGCUGAUUCUUGAAAAUGAGUAGGAAGAAUAAUUAAUUGGUAACUGACAUUUCUCUGCCCUAAUGCAUCAAAACCCACUGGUGCCUUUUUAUGUAUAUCUGUAUAUGUAUAUAUAUAUUAGUGUGUGUGUAUAUUAUGAAUAUACACUUACACACAAGGUUGUUUUACCCAUAGAAUUCCUCUGCAUAUAUAUAUAUUUUAAAACCCAAGUCUAAUAUUGUUUAACAUUUGGAAAACUGCAGUUUGCUAGCUUCUGUACUAGAUUACAAUUCCCUUAAUUCUCUGCUAGUUAAUAGGCAAACAAGCCCCAGUUUGCCUACCAAUGAGGUAUUAGGGCCUACUAGCAGUGAAUGGGUUAAGCAGUAUGCACUUCCACAAGUACCCAAUUAUGGCUAUAUUGCAAUGUGCUUUCCAGAAACUGCUUUUUUUUUUUUUUUUUUUUAAAUUUAAAAAAAUAAUAAAAACAUAUUUUAAGGACAAAUUCUCAUUGAAUGAGGGUUUUAUGGAACAUGUUUAAGGGUCCAUAGUAUAUGUAUGCAAUAUUACUUCUCUUCCCUUCCAUCCCAACUUUUUUUUUUUUUUUGUAACAGUGGCCAUUUACAUUUUCAUAUGGUUGUAAUGCCCAUCCCAUUCAUUUUCUUUUCUCCUUCUCCCUCCGGCCUUUUUUUGAAGCUGUGGGUCCUAACUGCCCCAGUCUGGUUUGUAUGUAAUAAGACUCUUACCCCCUAGUGUCCUCUGUACCCUUCUCCUCCUUUCUAGUAAGUGCUUUCAGAAAUAAAACUGUACAUUUUAACGUUAAAAAAAUAAAUUAUGUUGAGACAUUUUGGACAUGUGUUGCAAUGUGUUCUUGGUGUUUAGCGCGUGCUGCUGUCACUGGUCAUAUAUUAUCAGAAAGUUGCUAAAUCCCAUUUCCAUGUACAAAAUCACCAAAAUUAAAGGAACACUAUAGGGUCAGGAACACAAACAUGUAAUCCUGCCCCUAUAGUGUUAAACACACCAUCUAGCCCAACCAUGCCACACUAAAAAUAAAAGCUUACUUUUAUUCCAGUCUGCUGCUGCUGGCUCUGCCCUAAUCUGCCUGCUUGGCUGUCAUCAGAAGUGUUGAUCAAAAGCCAAUUACAAUGCUUUCUAACAGGAACACACAGCCCUGGCUAAUCAGCAUCUCCUCAUAGAGAAGAUUGAAUCAAUGCAUCUCUAUGAGGAAAUUCAGUGUCUCCAUGCAGAGGGUGGAGACUCGGAAUGGUGCAGCACAGCCCCAGGAAGCACCUCUAGUAUCCAUCUGAGGAAUGGCCAGUGGAGGUAUCCCUAAACUGUAAUGUAAACACUGCAUUUUCUCUGAACAGUGAAUGAUUCUACUCACCAGAACAAAUACAAUAAGCUGUAGUUGUUCUGGUGAGUUGUUUAAGUAGAGGGAAUUUGUGUAUUAUAGUGGCUCUGUCUCCUGCUUAUGACCACACCACUAGGUAUUCGAUGGCCUUUGUGUGCAUGCGUGGGUAAAUUUUACUUACAUUAACCUGUCCCUCCUGGCCGUUUCACAAUACACGAGAGCUCUGGUUUUUGUCAAGUGUAGGGAAUAUACCAAGACAAAAUGGUCCCUACUUUGUCUUAGUAUAUCUUUUGACUGCAUUGUAAUUUCAGUGAAAUUCCAACAGUUUAUAUUUCAUACAGCUUUGUAUCUUUAUGAAACACUUGAGGGAGAGGGUGACAAAUGUUAACCUACCAAAGAAAUGUUUGUACACAUGCUCACUUCACACUGGCAUGCUAGUAAUUAUAGUAGAAGGGAUAUACAAUAAGUUCCAUAGUUGUAAAACAUAAAAUUUGGCAUAAGUGGUUCCAACACAGUAGAUCUGUGUAGGAAUGGAUGUCUCAUGUUAAGAAAUGUUAAUGCUAUUUACUAAACUGGUUAAAUAGCCAUGUUGGAGAAUUGUUUUUGGUUUUGGCUAUUUUUGCUUAAACUUUACAAUUCUCUACAAAUUUAUGGUUGAGUUAACACCAUAAGUGUAGGAGUUGUGGCUUCUGAAAGUUAACACAUUAAACAUACCAUAUUAAAUCAAUACA